GCCAGGCAUGGUGGCGCAUGCCUGUGGUCCCAGCUACCUGGGAGGCUGAGGCAGGAGAAUGGCUUGAACCCAGGAGGCGGAGGUUGCAGUGAGCUGAGAUCACGCCACUGCACUCCAGCCUGGGUGACAGAGCAAGACUCCGUCUCAA
ensembl:misc_RNA Metazoa_SRP Metazoan signal recognition particle RNA